rnacentral:sRNA from 1 species
AGAUCGAAUCUUUUUUAUUCGCCCUUCAUGUCUGCCUCAGUCUCUGACCCUGGUAAUAACCGUGUGAAGUCCCGGGGAUGUUUUGAUUUCUGAGAAGACACACACGGAUUGCAGUGGGCUUCUGAUGAUGUCAAGGUUGGAUGCAUGUGGCUGACUGAUAGCUCUUUGUUUUCCACAAUCCUUUGCCUAGGAAAAAGGAAUCCAAGUGUGUUUUAACCAUGCUGACCAGCAAGGGGCAGGGAUUCCUUCAUGGGGGCUUGUGUCUCUGGCUGUGUGUGUUCACACCUUUCUUUAAAGGCUGUGUGGGCUGUGCAACUGAGGAGAGGCUCUUCCACAAACUGUUUUCUCAUUACAACCAGUUCAUCAGGCCUGUGGAAAACGUUUCCGACCCUGUCACGGUACACUUUGAAGUGGCCAUCACCCAGCUGGCCAACGUGGUGAGUGCCCUCUGAUCAGAGCUUUCCCCAGCAUUGUUACACUUUUGCAGGUGGUAAAUGAAGGAAUUUUAGAAAUACAGAUAGAUGCAAAU